rnacentral:rRNA from 1 species
AUGGCGGCGAAUUCAAAAAUGAUGCCACUGCAACAUAUCGGUUCCGGUGGCACAUGGAGAUACCGGUGCAAAAGGAAGUGGCCGUAUGGGUACUGUGGUCGAUGUCUUCAAAGUGGUACAAGGGGAGAUGCACGAUCGUGGCCAUCUUCGGACCUGGGGCUCCAUGAGCGCCGUGGUGGUCUUGCAGCAGCGCAAGGUGCCGGGAAGGAGUCGGUCGUGGCGUGGAGGCAUCCGACAAGGGGAACACCGGAUCAAGGCGAAGGUCAGCAGGGGCGACCCAGUCAUGGCAGCAGCGAAGGGAGGCGCGUGGGGUGGUUGCGGGACUUGGCUGCCGCUGGAGGUCAACGAGGGGCGGCGUAUGUCCCUGUCGCCCGAAGCAGAGGACGAACGAGCGACGUGGCUCCAGGAACACGGCGAGGAUGCAGAGGCGCAGGGGUGGUCGACGGCACCGGCUGGUGGCAAAGAUGA